AUUGAACGCUGGCGGCAGGCCUAACACAUGCAAGUCGAGCGAGCGGCGGACGGGUGAGUAAUGUAUGGGGACUGCCCGAUAGAGGGGGAUAACUACUGGAAACGGUAGCUAAUACCGCAUACUAUCGGAUAACCCAUAUGGUAUUAGCUAGUAGGUGAGGUAAUGGCUCACCUAGGCGACGAUCCCUAGCUGGUCUGAGAGGAUGAUCAGCCACACGUGGACUGAGACACGGGCCAGACUCAUACGGAGAGAAGAGUGGUGAAUAUUGCACAAUGGGCGCUAGCCUGAUGCCGCCGUGCCGCGUGUAUGAAGAAGGCCCUAGGGUUGUAAAGUACUUUCAGUCGUGAGGCGUUACCGACAGAAGAAGCACCGGCUAACUCCGUGCCAGCAGCCGCGGUAAUUC
rnacentral:rRNA from 1 species